rnacentral:rRNA from 1 species
UACGUAGGGGGCAAGCGUUGUCCGGAUUUACUGGGCGUAAAGCGCGCGUAGGCGGAACGAUCAGUCCGGUCUGAAAGCCCCCGGCUCAACCGGGGAGGGUGGCUGGAAACUGUCGUUCUUGAGGGCGAGAGAGGAGGGUGGAAUUCCAGGUGUAGCGGUGAAAUGCGUAGAUAUCUGGAGGAAUACCGGUGGCGAAGGCGGGUCUGCUGGGCGAGUAACUGGACGGCUGAGGAG